CUUGCUUACCCUGUGCCUAAGGUGCAUUUGUGAUUUGCAAUCUUAGAGAUGAAGGGAGGGACGCAAUGAAUAAAGUGGAGAGUUCAUUUUACUCUCCAAUUUAUUCCCUUUCCUUUCUUUCCCUCUUUGACCUCAAUUCACAAAUGUGCAGUCUAAGGGGCCUUUUCUGGUUUUUCUACUAGUUGGAGCACAGAAUAUCAAUAGCACUCAUCUGGCAUCUCUUCCCAAAGGAAACAAAGUCAAUUCAGGUAGUUAGGUCUUCCAUAACAGUUGUUGCACCAUCUGUGUAAAUGGCUCCAGUGCAUGGAUGUGAAUGCAACUGGCUUGAUCAUCUUGAAUUUAAUUGUUUGUGUACAUACAUAUGACAUGUACUAAUCUAGCUUUUCUCAAAUUUUUAGUUUGUCAUGGAGUUUCAUUUGAGAAUGAAUUUCAGGUUCUACCAUAAGCAGCAGUCAGGAAAGACUGAAGAAUAGAAGCUGAAUUUUAAUCUUGUCUAAUCCUCACCCAAAACAGCUAGGCCCUAUGUUGAAAUAGCUAUGCACCUUUGGGGCAUAUUUCGAAAGUAAAAACUCGAGUAAAAGUUGCACUUGCACCUCAUAUUUCUAAAAUAUUUGCAAGAAAUAGGCUUUCCCAUACUGCUAUAUUAUUAUUAUUAUUGUUGUUGUUGUUUGGGUUAGAAAAUUCUAAUCUCAUAUUUGAAAAUUUCGUGCUGAUCUGCUCUCUGAAUGUGUUGCCUAAUUCGUAAUUGCGUAUAAUUAUGCAGGCUGGCUAAUCAGAUUGUUGCUCUAGAAAGUAGGUGAAGUGGUUCGCAGACACCAAUCAACCAUGUAAGAAAACACAAGGUACCUCUAAAAUAGAGUACAACAUGCUGAUUUAUGCUAUUGCAAAUUUCAAGUCUUCCUUUUUUUGGUUCAUCUCGGUGUAUUUCACUUAAUUUGUUCAAAUUAUUCAAUAAUUAGAUGGUUGGGUGUGUCUUGGAUCACUUCUGCUUUGAUAAUUUGUACUAGAUACUUAUGGAGUAAUUAGGAUGAUUUAUAUUUUAACGGUGUUAUGUUGAGGCUUGAGAGUAUCCGUGCAUAGUGUGAGCUAACAAACUUCAUAUUACUACUCAUGUGCUCGUUCUGUUGUUUUUUCCCCCUGCAACUUUUCUCAGUUCUUUUGAAUUUUGAUUAACUAAUUGAUAGUGGAGUACGAAUUCAGAGAUGUACAGGGCAGAGAACAGUGGAAAUCACUAAUCAUGUCACUGUCAGAUAUUUGGUAAGAGGCCCACAAGAAGCACACUAGAGAGAGAAAACGAAUUGAUGGUUGCUUUUUGUGGAUACUUUAGAUGUUGGUGAAGGAACCUCUUGUCCUUGCAAAGACCUAAUAAGGAGAUCUAGCAUUUGACUACUUUUGGGACAUUCUCUUUGCUUUUGGCUUAUGUGCAAAUUGUAUUUGAUCAUGAAUCCCAUUCCAAGAUAAAGAGCUACUCAUUACACCAUGCUCGUGUGAAAGAAAAGUCAGCUAACCUACCUCAGCAAUCGUUAAACAUUUCAUCUUUUCUCACCGGCAUAUGAUUGACUUUCACAAAUUCAAAGCCUUCAAGGCAAACAUUAGACAUUACACACAUGCAUUUGUCACCAUUAAUGUCUAUUAAAGGGAAAAUAAAACUCAUUAAGGGAAGAAAAAAGAAGAAAGAAGUAACACUUUGUGGAAGCAAUAACUCCCAUUCUUAGGCAUAGUCUGAGUGUGAUGAAGUUGAGCCACUUUUGGUGACCAUCUUGUGCUCAUGGGAUUCCCCACUGAAGCUAAAAGAUCACAUAUAUUUUAUGUAACUUGGCUUGUCCACUAAGGGCUCACACCAUGGCAUUCGUGCGAAGAAAACAAUAAAAUAUCGAUUUUGUGUUUGAUUAUCGUCAAUCAAAUCGCUAGAAAUAUAUUCUAUCGAACAAUGGAACCUUCGAUGUACCAAUCAUAAGCCUUUUGUUGGACUAAAGAAAAGGUCUAACCCUGUCCCUGUUGGACAACUUUCCUAAGCACUUAUUAUUUCCCCCUAUAUCUCACGGGAAUGAAAUUCGUUCUCCGUUGUCUGUAAAUACGGCUAGGCAAAUCAUCUAAUAAUCUAUAGCACUGCAAUGAUAGGAUGUUGAAGUGUUUUUUGAUAUUCAUUCUUGCUGGUCAAAAGUGGGUGUUUGGAAUCAUUAUGGAUGCUUAAUUAAGAUCAAUUUUAUAAGCAUUCUUUUCUUACUGCUCUCCCCAUUAAAGGCAUUGUCUCCCUCUAUUUUCAAUUACAUUCUCAUUAUAACAGGAAGCUAGUUACUUCAUUAUUAUUUAACUAUGAAGAAUUCUAGGACCAGAUGGUAUAGAAAAGGCACUCCAACGUCUAAGUCAUUGUGUAUUAGAGCAAUAUUCUUUGUUAUCCAACUAUAACUUGGUUUUUAGCACACAUUUUAUUUUCUGUAACUGAUUUGGAAAAGUAACUGCUCUUGUCGAGUUAUUCCUAGUAGAAGAUUUAUUGAUGAAAAAAAGGGUAGCUUAUGGA